rnacentral:rRNA from 1 species
AGAGUUUGAUCCUGGCUCAGGAUGAACGCUGGCGGCGUGCCUAACACAUGCAAGUCGAGCGAUUCUCUUCGGAGAAGAGCGGCGGACGGGUGAGUAACGCGUGGGUAACCUGCCCUGUACACACGGAUAACAUACCGAAAGGUAUGCUAAUACGGGAUAAUAUAUAAGAGUCGCAUGACUUUUAUAUCAAAGAUUUUUCGGUACAGGAUGGACCCGCGUCUGAUUAGCUUGUUGGCGGGGUAACGGCCCACCAAGGCGACGAUCAGUAGCCGACCUGAGAGGGUGAUCGGCCACAUUGGAACUGAGACACGGUCCAAACUCCUACGGGAGGCAGCAGUGGGGAAUAUUGCACAAUGGGCGCAAGCCUGAUGCAGCAACGCCGCGUGAGCGAUGAAGGCCUUCGGGUCGUAAAGCUCUGUCCUCAAGGAAGAUAAUGACGGUACUUGAGGAGGAAGCCCCGGCUAACUACGUGCCAGCAGCCGCGGUAAUACGUAGGGGGCUAGCGUUAUCCGGAUUUACUGGGCGUAAAGGGUGCGUAGGCGGUCUUUCAAGUCAGGAGUUAAAGGCUACGGCUCAACCGUAGUAAGCUCCUGAUACUGUCUGACUUGAGUGCAGGAGAGGAAAGCGGAAUUCCCAGUGUAGCGGUGAAAUGCGUAGAUAUUGGGAGGAACACCAGUAGCGAAGGCGGCUUUCUGGACUGUAACUGACGCUGAGGCACGAAAGCGUGGGGAGCAAACAGGAUUAGAUACCCUGGUAGUCCACGCUGUAAACGAUGAGUACUAGGUGUCGGAGGUUACCCCCUUCGGGUGCCGCACCUAACGCAUU